UACUGGGACUGAGACACGGCCCAGACUCCUACGGGAGGCAGCAGUGGGGAAUAUUGCGCAAUGGGCGAAAGCCUGACGCAGCAACGCCGCGUGAGGGAUGACGGCCUUCGGGUUGUAAACCUCUUUCAGCAGGGACGAAGCGAGAGUGACGGUACCUGCAGAAGAAGGACCGGCCAACUACGUGCCAGCAGCCGCGGUAAUACGUAGGGUCCGAGCGUUGUCCGGAAUUAUUGGGCGUAAAGGGCUCGUAGGCGGUUCGUCACGUCGGGAGUGAAAACUCGGAGCUUAACUCCGAGCCUGCUUCCGAUACGGGCAGACUAGAGGUAGGCAGGGGAGAGCGGAACUCCUGGUGUAGCGGUGGAAUGCGCAGAUAUCAGGAAGAACACCGGUGGCGAAGGCGGCUCUCUGGGCCUUACCUGACGCUGAGGAGCGAAAGCGUGGGUAGCGAACAGGAUUAGAUACCCUGGUAGUCCACGCCGUAAACGUUGGGCGCUAGGUGUGGGGGACAUUCCACGUCCUCCGUGCCGCAGCUAACGCAUUAAGCGCCCCGCCUGGGGAGUACGGCCGCAAGGCUAAAACUCAAAGGAAUUGAUGGGGGCCCGCACAAGCGGCGGAGCAUGCGAUUAAUUCGAUCCACGCGAAGAACCUUACCUGGGUUUGACAUAUAGGGAAAUCUCACAGAGAUGUGAGGUCCGUAAGGGUCCUAUACAGGUGGUGCAUGGCUGUCGUCAGCUCGUGUCGUGAGAUGUUGGGUUAAGUCCCGCAACGAGCGCAACCCUCGUCCUAUGUUGCCAGCACGUUAUGGUGGGGACUCAUAGGAGACUGCCGGGGUCAACUCGGAGGAAGGUGGGGACGACGUCAAGUCAUCAUGCCCCUUAUGUCCAGGGCUUCACGCAUGCUACAAUGGCCGGUACAAAGGGCUGCGAAACCGCAAGGUGGAGCGAAUCCCAAAAAGCCGGUCUCAGUUCGGAUUGGGGUCCGCAACUCGACCCCAUGAAGUCGGAGUCGCUAGUAAUCGCAGAUCAGCAACGCUGCGGUGAAUACGUUCCCGGGCCUUGUACACACCGCCCGUCACGUCAUGAAAGUCGGCAACACCCGAAGCCGGUGGCCUAACCCUUGUGGAGGGAGCCGUCGAAGGUGGGGCUGGCGAUUAGGACGAAGUCGAAACAAGGUAGCCGUACCGGAAGGUGCGGCUGG
rnacentral:rRNA from 1 species